UACGUAGGGGGCAAGCGUUGUCCGGAAUCAUUGGGCGUAAAGAGCGUGUAGGCGGCUCGAUAAGUCUGCUGUGAAAAGUCCAGGGCUCAACCCUGGAAGGCCGGUGGAAACUGUCGGGCUAGAGUCCGGAAGAGGCGAGUGGAAUCCCGGUGUAGCGGUGAAAUGCGCAGAUAUCGGGAGGAACACCAAUGGCGAAGGCAGCUCGCUGGGGACGGUACUGACGCUGAGACGCGAAAAGCGUGGGGGAGCAAA
rnacentral:rRNA from 1 species